CUCCCAAAUGUGCCAGAAAUGUGAUCUUUGCUACAGUUUCUUUCAAGAAAAUGUGGAUAAUUAUAUAGUCAAUGAAAUGACUUUAUUCUUUUUCAAAUAUCUACCAAGACUCAGUGCCAAAAAAAGUGCAAUAAAUACGAAGAGUCAGCAUGUGAAGCGUUGGAAGUGCACAACUUACUGAAGAGGAGGAAAACAUCCCACAAAGGCAACUUCAUCCUCCGCAGAGCAGGGAGGACUUCGUUCUAAACACACAGACACACAACCUGUAUUUCAUGAAAGGGGGAGCUUCAGUGUGGUACCAGUGUCUAAAGCUGCUCUCAGGCUACAUGCCGUGGUGGCUCAAAUUACCCUCUCUGCAAUCUACAUUUGAGGAGUUCAUUAAUGCUUGGUAUUGCUCUGUUAAGAGAAGGUGUAGUGACCCAACUAGAAGUACUGAGAGGGACCCUGACCAAUUCAAUCUUCACAUAUGGGAAAGAAUAGACGUUUCUAAAUAGCAAAAUUAUGAAAAUCACAGAGGGAAAGGCCAUCUAAUACUGCACUCUUUUUGGCUCCUCCAUUGAAGAUGUAACAGUAAAUGCAUUUUCCAGCAAACUGAGUCAAGACUAAGACUGAUUUCUCAAUGUGCUCGAAUUUUGCAUUUCUUCUUUUUUUUUUUUGUUCCCUUGUAGUUCACAAAUUAAGCAAAUAAACUAGAUUUAACAG
ensembl:lncRNA